UUAACACAUGCAGUCGAGGGGCAGCAUUAUUUUAAGCUUGCUAAGAUAGAUGGCGACCGGCGCACGGGUGCGUAACGCGUAUGCAACCUGCCUGUAAUUAGGGAAUAACCCGGUGAAAGUCGGACUAAUACCCUAUAUUCAUCUUUCUCCGCAUGGAGGAGGACGGAAAGAUUUAUUGAUUACAGAUGGGCAUGCGUCCCAUUAGCUAGUUGGUAAGGUAACGGCUUACCAAGGCGACGAUGGGUAGGGGGACUGAGAGGUUGACCCCCCACACUGGUACUGAGACACGGACCAGACUCCUACGGGAGGCAGCAGUGAGGAAUAUUGGUCAAUGGGCGAGAGCCUGAACCAGCCAAGUCGCGUGAAGGACGACGGCUCUAUGGAUUGUAAACUUCUUUUGUAGAGGAAUAAUGGCAGCUACGAGUAGCUGAGAUGCAUGUACUCUACGAAUAAGUAUCGGCUAACUCCGUGCCAGCAGCCGCGGUAAUACGGAGGAUACGAGCGUUAUCCGGAAUUAUUGGGUUUAAAGGGUGCGUAGGUGGCGUAUUAAGUCAGUGGUGAAAAGCUGCAGCUCAACUGUAGUCUCGCCGUUGAAACUGAUAUGCUAGAGAGGAGACGAGGUAUGCGGAAUGUGUGGUGUAGCGGUGAAAUGCAUAGAUAUCACACAGAACGCCGAUUGCGAAGGCAGCGAACCAGGCCCCGUCUGACACUGAAGCACGAAAGCGUGGGGAUCAAACAGGAUUAGAUACCCUGGUAGUCCACGCAGUAAACGAUGAAUACUAGAUUUUUGCGAUAUAGUGUAAGAGUCUAAGCGAAAGCGAUAAGUAUUCCACCUGGGGAGUACG
rnacentral:rRNA from 1 species